rnacentral:lncRNA from 1 species
UAUGCCCAAGAUAAACACAUAUGGAGCAGACCUGAUCCCAACCCACAGCCUGCAGCCAUGCCCAGCAGAGCCCAGCCUGGAUCCGCCAAGUCGUGCUUGACCUAUGGACCUGAAUGUGGAGCGAUAUGGGGAGGCCUGGAGAGGGAGAUGAAAGCCGAUCAAAGCCACCCCUUCUGCUGUCAGCUAGAAGGAAAUUGACAAAUCUUUUACUCCAUCAGAAAAUUCAGCUUAAAAAAAUCAUUUAAAGAGAUCCAGAACCCAACCACUUCUCAUGACUUCCACCCCCACGUCCUAGUCCAAGCCAUUGUCCCCAUGGCCAUGUCCUCCAAACUGGUCUUCCUGCUUCCACAUUUACUUUUUGCCAUACAGAAGUCAAAGUUAUCUUCUUAAAAAACAUUGGUUUGGUAUUUUUACAAUCUGGCUUAAAAUGCUCCCAUGAGUUCCGUAAGUACUUAGAACAAAACCCAUUCUGGUUCCUGCUGUCUACCAAGCACCACAUGGCCUAGAAGUCACCACCUCCCUGGCCUCCUCACCUGUUUCCCUCUUCCAUGCUCUGCUGCCCAGCCAUGUUGGUUGCUUGAGGCUCCUUGAACAAAUCAAGCCCAUUAGUAUUUUAUGGCCUUUGCCUCUGCUGUUUCCUCUGCCUGGAAUGCUGGCUCCACAUGCAUCCAC